AAUAUUGGACAAUGGGCGAAAGCCUGAUCCAGCCACCCCGCGUGUGUGAAGAAGGUCGUCGGAUUGUAACGCACUUUAAGUUGGGAGGAAGGGGCUGAAGCUAAUACUUUCAAUCUUUGACGUUACUAACAGAAUAAGCACCGGCUAACUCUCUGCCAGCAGCCGCGGUAAUACAGAGGGUGCAAGCGUUAAUCGGAAUUACUGGGCGUAAAGCGCGCGUAGGUGGUUCAGUAAGAUGGAAGUGAUAUCCCCGGGCUUAACCUGGGAACUGCUUUCAUAACUGCUGAGCUAGAGUACGGUAGAGGGUAGUGGAAUUUCCUGUGUAGCGGUGAAAUGCGUAGAUAUAGGAAGGAACACCAGUGGCGAAGGCGACUACCUGGACUGAUACUGACACUGAGGUGCGAAAGCGUGGGGGGCAAACAGG
rnacentral:rRNA from 1 species